rnacentral:lncRNA from 1 species
UCUUACAAGAAUAGGAAAAUUUUGCCCCCUUUGGAUCACAUCAUCCCCUCUCUGUUCGAAAGGAUUCGACCUUGAAUCCAGACCCAAGUUAUAGCCCCUAUCUCUAAUCAAUGCAUGAACAUGAAAUGGUCUGUCUCCUCUCGGAUGCAAUUUAGACCACUUCUGAACUUGAACCCGUCGCCUUCGGUUGUAAACCCAAUCACCUUCACCUGGAUCAAAGUGUACUCGCCUCAAUUGUUUGAUCUUGCAAGUUUGGAAUGCUCCAAUAGCAAUUCCAUCUGAUGGAUAUCCAUGCAUUCUCCUUGCUUUACUUGGCCCACACACUUGUAACAAUAUCACUUCCAAUGUAUCUACUUCACUCAGC